GGAGUCUUAGUUUAAUUAAGAAUUUAUCCCUUACAAGGAUAGGGUUUUUGGCUCUU
rnacentral:tRNA from 1 species